UACGUAGGGUGCGAGCGUUAAUCGGAAUUACUGGGCGUAAAGCGUGCGCAGGCGGUUUUGUAAGCCAGGUGUGAAAUCCCCGGGCUCAACCUGGGAAUGGCAUUUGGGACUGCAAGGCUGGAGUGCGGCAGAGGAGACUGGAAUUCCUGGUGUAGCAGUGAAAUGCGUAGAGAUCGGAAAGAACACCAACGGCGAAAGCACUCUGCUGGGCCGACACUGACACUGAGAGACGAAAGCUAGGGGAGCGAAUGGG
rnacentral:rRNA from 1 species